UUUUUCGGUUUUCCGGAUUAUUGAGGCGUAAGCGAGCGCAGGCGGUUUUUUAAGUCUGAUGUGAAAGCCCUCGGCUUAACCGAGGAAGCGCAUCGGAAACUGGGAAACUUGAGUGCAGAAGAGGACAGUGGAACUCCAUGUGUAGCGGUGAAAUGCGUAGAUAUAUGGAAGAACACCAGUGGCGAAGGCGGCUGUCUGGUCUGUAACUGACGCUGAGGCUCGAAAGCAUGGGUAGCGAACAGGAUUAGAUACCCUGGUAGUCCAUGCCGUAAACGAUGAAUGCUAGGUGUUGGAGGGUUUCCGCCCUUCAGUGCCGCAGCUAACGCAUUAAGCAUUCCGCCUGGGGAGUACGACCGCAAGGUUGAAACUCAAAGGAAUUGACGGGGGCCCGCACAAGCGGUGGAGCAUGUGGUUUAAUUCGAAGCAACGCGAAGAACCUUACCAGGUCUUGACAUCUUUUGAUCACCUGAGAGAUCAGGUUUCCCCUUCGGGGGCAAAAUGACAGGUGGUGCAUGGUUGUCGUCAGCUCGUGUCGUGAGAUGUUGGGUUAAGUCCCGCAACGAGCGCAACCCUUAUGACUAGUUGCCAGCAUUUAGUUGGGCACUCUAGUAAGACUGCCGGUGACAAACCGGAGGAAGGUGGGGAUGACGUCAAAUCAUCAUGCCCCUUAUGACCUGGGCUACACACGUGCUACAAUGGAUGGUACAACGAGUUGCGAGACCGCGAGGUCAAGCUAAUCUCUUAAAGCCAUUCUCAGUUCGGACUGUAGGCUGCAACUCGCCUACACGAAGUCGGAAUCGCUAGUAAUCGCGGAUCAGCACGCCGCGGUUGAAUACGUUCCCGGGCCUUGUACACACCGCCCGUCACACCAUGGAGAGUUUGUAACACCCGAAGCCGGUGGCGUAACCCUUUUAGGGAGCGAGCCGUCUAAGGUGGACAAUGAUAGGUGACACAGCGGGGGGCAAGCAAAAGAGAAAAAAAAAAAAAAAGG
rnacentral:rRNA from 1 species